UUUUCAAUUUUUAUAUUUCUUCAUUAGGUUGUAUAGCUGAAGGAAUAAUGAGCUGAUGAUACUGCAAAAGUACUUAGGAAUGUUAACCAAAAGCAUCCAGAAAUUUGGUGGUCUGAAUGAGGUCUUCAGUAACAUGGAAUUCCAUCCAGAUCAAGACUGCGUAUCUUAAAGGAGGUCUUCAGAAGUAUCAUGGAAUUGCAAGAUUGUAGUUCUCUAACUUUUUUAACAUUGCAGGUUGUGAAGCAGAAGUAGUAAUGAAGACGCAUUACAAAAGG